UGAUUUUCAACGAAGAAACUCUGGUGGUAUUAAAAUAAAUUAAUCAAGUGUGCUUGCACCAGGAUUCAUGCGGUAAAGGAAUGCGGUACAUUUUGCAUUCCAAAUUAGUUGACCGUCGGUCGGACUGUUUAAUUAAGUGUACCGGGUGCAAGACACGGUUUCUCAAUCGAUAUGACCUGGCAUACCCGGCACCGAUGUAGCCGGAUGUGACGACAGCUUCGCCAGGGCCUCGAAAUAGACAGAAGAAAUACUCAAGAAUCGUCCGCAUUGACCAGAAAUCAAAGGAGAAAUCGAUAUCAACGGAUGUGACCAAGCAACAAAAAGUAAAAAAAAAGUUGAUCUUGGAAGUAACAGACGGUUUAUUUGAUUAAACACAGUCCAAUGGUGACAAUAACUGUACAAUAAUUCAAAACUGUAUCAAUAACGCCUGUAAUAUGGAUCAGCUGCGUAAAGAUCGCUCCACGUGAUCCACGUAGAUGUCGUCCAGGGUCUCCUACGACGCUUACCGUCGAGACACUCCGUAUCAGCUCCCUGUCUGCCGUUGUUCCUCUCGUAGAAGUCGUAAUCGGACCCCGUGUCAUAGUAUACAGGAUUGCCCAUGUCCAUAUCUCUGGAGUCACGAUCGCUCAACUCACAGUUGUCUCUUUCAGCUCCAUAGGGUGCUGCGUAAGGACGAUAAUUGAAAGAUCUGCACACGAAGUCCCUGGCGUCCGCACAUUCCCUUUCACACUGGGCCAGAGAGGAAGCUGUCGUGUAUCGUCUGACGAACGGUUUACGGACCCUCGUGUGUGGACCCACUUGGCGAAAGUUGUCCUGUUCGUCGCAUCUGGACACCAAUGGCGGUCGACCGAUGAUGGGACCACCACUGGUGCCGAAAGGUCGUGAAUUGUACACUCCACCUUCGCCUAUGUAACCACCGCCGAUUAUUCCACCGUCGUUGCUGUAACCACCGUAACCUAGAGGACGUGUGGACCCUCCUACGCCAUAGGGAUUACGGUCUGGAUGAGCUUGGGGACCAUAGACGUCGUCCACAGGAUGAUCCUGCGCCCGUCCCGUUGGUUGAACCGGCUCAAUUGACACGUGUGAAGAUGUUCGGAGUACACGGCGCUUCGACAUUGGAAGCUGGUCUGUCGAAGACACUCGUCAAGGCACUCGCUCAGACUACGCCCAGUUAUCUCAGAAUGAAAUUCAGUGCUCAAACGAGAGUUUCGAUAACGCUGGAACGCUGUGUCUGGUCGUCGCCCAUCGGAGAAAAGAUGCGACGAGGGACUGCUGUCCGGGUAUUCGGAGCCACGUGCUAUGGAUGGAUCUACGCUUCGUAAGUGGAUAUUGGUAAAGUGUCGUGAAGUAUUAAUCGAUCGUUUCACUGUUACUUUACUUUGGACUUGGAAAAAAUGAUCAGAUGUUCUCGUCUUUUGUAAAAUCCUUUCUUUUCAAAAUUUGGAUAUUAUUGUUUUAUUGUUAAAAAGUAAAAAUGUUCUAAUAUAGAUAUUGAUAUUUAUACUAGAAUUUUGUACUUUUAUUGUGCUUAGAUUGUAUAUUUGGUAAAUUUAUAGCUUUCAUUGUAACAUAAAUGUUUAUUAUAAUUUGAAUGAUUAAAUUUUUAAAAAUGGUAUAAAUUAAUGAAUGAAUUAUGAAAAAUUUUGAACGAAGUCACUGAUAGUAUAAUAUACUUACGAUUAUCCAAACAAACCAAAUCAUAGAAAUGAUGGCUGGGACUGCUGCUUAUUCCGAUAUCGUCUUUUUGAGAAACGGAAUCUUCUUCAGAAAUGACACAUUGCCUCGUUUGCUCGUCGAAUUCGACGCUUCGACAGAAGUAUUUCUCCGCUCUGAGACAAAGGGCUUGACACUCGUCUAAGGUAAGAUUCGUGUAAAUGUCGACUUCGAAUGGUCCUCGAAGGCGUUUGUUCUCUUCUUUGACGAAUACAGUUAACCCAUCGCAACGACGUUCCGCUGAUAAAUUACAAAAUUCGAAUUUCUUCGGUCAAAAGUGAUAAAUUAUAAAAAUUCAAUAUUUGGAUAAUUUAAAUAUUUUUUUUAUUAAUUAUGAAAUCAUUAAUUUUCAGAAAGAAGGAUAAUAUUAAUUGUAAGCACCAUUCAGACAAGUGUUUUCAAGGUAAUCAGAAUUUGGAUCAUCCUCUAAUAAUUCAGGAUGCGUUCUUCUAGUGAAACGACUCAGAGCACAGCUUCUUAGAGCAGUGUCGUAGGUUGCAGAUCGACAAAUGAAACUGAACUCGUUCAGACAUCUUCAAAAUUUUCUUCCUGGGAUGUCUCUCGAAAACAUAACGCCGAUUUGGACAUUCUCUUUCUAUCCUAUCAGCUUCACAAAAGAAUAUGAACAUUGAAAUAUUUAAACAGAAAAAGGUACAGAAAUUUGUUUUCUUUUAAUUAAAUGAAAGAGUAAAUUUAAUUAAUUUAUAUAAUUUCAUCGAUGAAUUAAUUAUUUCUUUUUCUAUAAAGUUAAAAAUUAUUGAGAAAGGAGAUCAAAAGUUAAAAUGAUGGUCUGUUUCACAAUACUCGAGAAUUAUUAAGGAGAUACAUUCUUACAGCCAAGA